GCCAGCUGCUCAAACUCCUCCCGGCCAAACAUCCCCGGCUGCCCCACACUGAUAACGAUGGAAAAGAAGCAAAGAAAACAGGCGGGAUGACGAGAAUGCAGUCCAGUUUUUUAGCCUUCAAAGUCUCACAUAUGUGUUUCACUAAAUGGACCAGCUCUCUCUGGCUCCACAGCUCCAAGGUGAAACCGUCGAAACCUUCCGUCUGCAAGUCCACAGCUUCAUUAGACAGGACAAACAACACUGCAGCAAGGGACUUAAAGCUCAACACGACUCUUAAUUACCUUUGCAACAUCCACCAGCUCGCUCCCCAGCUCUUCAAUUUCAUCCUCGCUCCCCAGAACACUCAUGUAGUCCUGGUAAGA